rfam:Ipomoea nil DNA, scaffold: scaffold2701, cultivar: Tokyo-kokei standard.
CUGACCUUAGCUCAGUGGGUAGAGUGGUGGACUGUAGUUGGACUAAUCUAAAUUGGAAAUCCUUAGGUCGUUGGUUUGAUUCCGGCAGGUUGGA